UUAACUAUUAUAUAGUACUCGGACGACAAAAAUUAAGAAUGUUGAGGUCCUCUGGCGGGCACAGACCAGCCAAAGCCAGUAGUCUUUAGACAGGCCCGCCAAAGCAACAGAGGUAUUGUAAACAAAGGGUGGGAGAUAUACCCUAAAGGGCACAUUCUCGGUAAUGAUCCUUCCGCAGGUUCACCUACGGAACACUAACUCUUAACCCCUUUCAGGAGAAGGCCGGUCAUAUCUAAAUCCAAUGGUGACAGCUAGGUUAGCUGCACUUAGGACCACCUUUGUCUGAUCUGUGGACUGCUAUAGCAGCUGCUUAUUACCUCUCAAGGUAUCCAAGCACAGUAAAGGUGUUGCCUAUAAUAAUAGACUGGAGUCAAGGCUUCAGUAUGGUAGCACUCUGAUAGAAA
rnacentral:misc_RNA from 1 species